rnacentral:rRNA from 1 species
CCCCNCGUGNUGGUGGGGACUCAUNGGAGACCGCCGGGGUCAACUCGGAGGAAGGUGGGGACGACGUCAAGUCAUCAUGCCCCUUAUGUCUUGGGCUUCACACNUGCUACAAUGGCCGGUACAAUGAGCUGCGAUACCGUGAGGUGGAGCNAAUCNCAAAAAGCCGGUCUCAGUUCGGAUUGGGGUCUGCAACUCGACCCCAUGAAGUCGGAGUCGCUAGUAAUCGCAGAUCAGCANGCUGCGGUGAAUA